rnacentral:rRNA from 1 species
CCUACGGGAGGCAGCAGUGAGGAAUAUUGGUCAAUGGGCGAGAGCCUGAACCAGCCAAGUCGCGUGAGGGAGUACUGCCCUAUGGGUUGUAAACCUCUUUUGUCGGGGAGCAAAAGCCGGACGUGUCCGGCUGUGAGAGUACCCGAAGAAAAAGCAUCGGCUAACUCCGUGCCAGCAGCCGCGGUAAUACGGAGGAUGCGAGCGUUAUCCGGAUUUAUUGGGGUUAAAGGGUGCGCAGGCGGAUUUUUAAGUCAGCGGUCAAAUCGUGGGGCUCAACCCCAUCCAGCCGUUGAAACUGGGGAUCUAGAGUGUGCGAGAGGUAUGCGGAAUGCGUGGUGUAGCGGUGAAAUGCAUAGAUAUCACGCAGAACCCCGAUUGCGAAGGCAGCAUACCGGUGCACAACUGACGCUCAGGCACGAAAGCGUGGGUAUCGAACAGGACUAGAUACCCUAGUAGUC